AAGAAUCCCAUUUUCUCAUAAUCUUAAUCUGUUCUAUUGGUGUUGUUGGUUCAAUCAAAAUGAACAUCUUUUCUAAGAAACCCAAUGCAAAAGAGCUGCUUUGGGAGAGUAGAAGAGAACUGACUCAUGCCACCAGAGAUGUGAAGACCGAGUGGGAGUCCAGUUCCUGAGGAAGGAAGUUGAUCGUGCAGAAGAUGAUGGCCUCACUCAACGAUUUUGACAGGUUUAAGCUCAUGUUGGCAAAGAUCAAGGUGUGA